UGGCUCAGAACGAACGCUGGCUCCAGGCCUAACACAUGCAAGUCGAGCGCCCCGCAAGGGGAGCGGCACACGGGAGAGUCCCACGUGGGAACGUACCCUUUGGUCCGGAACAACCCAUGGAAACUUGGGCUAAUACCCGAUAAGCCCUUACGGGGAAAGAUUUAUCGCCCAAGGAUCUGCCCGCGUCUGAUUAGCUAGUUGGUGGGGUAACAGCCCACCAAGGCGACAAUCUGUAGCUGGUCUGAGAGGAUGAUCACCCACACUGGGACUGAGACACGGCCCACACUCCUACGGGAGGCAGCACUGGG
rnacentral:rRNA from 1 species